UUUUUGUUUUGUUUUAUUAAAAAUAGUUGAUUUAUUUUUUAUUUAUAAUGAUUUUUAUUUUUUCCACUAUAGCUGGUUUACAGUGUUCUGUCCAUUUUAUACUGUACAGCAAGGUGACCCAGUUACACAUACAUGUAUAGAUUCUUUUUUCUCACAUUAUCAUGCUCCAUCAUAAGUGACUAGACAUAGUUCCCAGUGCUAUACAGCGGAUCACAUUACUUAUCCCUCAUUAUAAAUAUAUAGUUGUUUUACAAUGUUUCUUCAUUUUCUGUUGUACAGCAAAGUGCUAUUUAACAAUAACUUUGCUACAUAAUAACAUAUAAGACAUGGUUUGAGAAUCUCAAGCAAGAAUAGGAUAUAACUGUGUUUGUAAUUAUGAUAGGAUUAAUAGUAUCAUGAACUUCAUAGGAUGAUGAUAUAGCUUAGUGAAGACUCAGCUCAGAGGCCAGUUGGGAAAACACACCCUGAAAGGAGGGGUUUUGUCCCUUAUGCUAUAUGCACACUUACUCAGAGUAAAGUUCACAGGGAAAAGGAUGGGAGGGAGGAGUUGGGAAUAUACUGUUGUAACAUCCUCAUGCUACAGAUGAAGAGGCAUAAUAUUAUAUGAAGUUGUAUUCCAGUUGAUUAAAGUUUUUUCAUUGGAAAAUACUAAAGCAAUAAAAAUGCCCAGCAAAUAGUGGUGACAAAAUGAAGUUAUAAAAAUAGUGAAUGUAGGGAACAGUAAAUGGGGCUACCUCUCUCAUAGAGAGGAGAAUCAAGUAGGAGAAUAAAAAAGUAAAGGUGGGGCAUUGGUAGAACUACUCUUAAAAUAUUUCAUUCCAAUCCCCAUGACAGUGGGCUCUGCUUAGUUUUUAUAAGCUAUGGGAUGAAAGUUUCCACCAGAUGACUUGGUAAUGGGUCCACUGAACUGGAAGCUGAGCCUGUGCCACCUGGCUGGUGGAAUUCAUGCUGCUGGCUGAUAUGUUGACUUGACUACCCAGGAAAACAGGAUUGCUGCCACAAAGUUUGAUUCACCUCAUUCUGGUUAGUAUCUUCCCCCUCAUACUCAUUUUGAAAAACUUUAAAACUUCAAAAAGUUUAAAAAUCUUUUCAGGACAAAGACUUCCACUUCUGGAAGUAAAUGUACAUUUCCCUAUUCCUCUCGCUAAGUAUAUCGAAAAAUUCUGGAUGUCAUAUAUAGAAUAUACAUAAGAGGAUUUUGAAAAUUUAAGAGAAGAAAGCAGCAAGCUGAUUACAGUUCUCAGAAACCAAUGAUCAACAUGCUGAUGGGUCCCCUAGCUUUUCUUUUUGGCUCUUGUAUCCUGUUCUGGGCAUUGGGGAAGACAAAGGAGAAGGGAGAAAGUCAGCCCAGUAGGACAGAAACCUUUUCAACAAUGAACAGUUGUAUUCCAAACACCACAACACACACACACGCGCGCACACACACACACACCAAACUUAAAGGAAAAAAAUCAUUAAAGUUCAAGAUUUAAAUAAAAUCUGGAAUCUCAUACCAUAAUACCCAAAAUGUUCAGGUUUCUCUUAAAAAUCCCUCAUCAAACCAAUAAGUAAUGGGUACAAAGAGAGCAUUCAGUUUGAGAUGAUGAAAAAUUCUGGAGAUAGAUAUUGGUGAUGGUUGCACAACAAUGUGAGUGUACUUAAUGCCACUGAAUUGUUCAAUUAAUAUGCUUAAAAUGUUUAAUAUGCUUUUAUGUAAAUUUACCACAAUAAAAAAUCAGAGUAAAAUCUUUCAGGUGAAGGUGAUAGAGCAUUUCUAUAUAAGUAGCUGUAAAUGCAAAUGUUCAAAUAAGAAAUAGUAAUACCCAGGUUUGUCUAAUUACAAAGCCCAUAGGUAUGACCACUUAGCUGUACAGCAUGUCUACGUUGUUACAGAUGCCUCUAUGACACUGCCAGCACCGACAAAAGAUAGGGCUCCAAAUCGUUGCUGAUUCUAUUGUCCCUAGAGUGGUUUUCACCAUCUAAAUGCAUGCACUGGAAGAUCUCAGGCUUCCUUUUAUUGUGCAAAUCACACAAAGACUUUUGUAUUAGCAAAGUGACCCCCACGGAAACUACGUAAACUUGUCUCAGCCCAUCUAUCUGUCCAUCCACCCAUCUGCACAUCCAUGCAUGGGAAAUCAUGACUCCAUCCAUCUAUCCAUCCAAGAAAUUUGUUUCUAGAGCUUCAGUAGGCCAUGAACUUCAGUCCACACCCCACUAAAAAGCUGUGAGACAGGGCAAGGGAUUCUCUUAAGGUAACGUCUUUCUGUUUUAGAACUCCAGUCCUCUGUGUUCUUCUCUGGGACUGACUGCCUCUUUCAGCAUUCUGUGCCAUAUUUAUCUCCAGUUCAUAAACAAAAGCUUUCAGAGGAAACUAUAUUUUUAUGCAUAUUUUCAGCUGCUAGAACACAGGGGUUCUCCUCAUUGACCAACAUCGAAAUACCAGAAUAUUCACAAAUGAUGCAGCAUUACAUGUCCAUUUGAAUGGUGCUUCUCAACUCAAUAUAAAUCGCAAAGCAGGAAGGGUAAUAUCUAAAGCUUUGUGAAAGAAAGUACAAUUUGAGCGUCAAUUUUUCAUACAUAGCUAAGCUUCCUGUGAAUUGUACCAGUGUACCUCCAUCUAUUUCUUCACCUGUUUUUACCACUGGAGACAGUCUGUGUUUUUUUGUUUCCAAGUUGCUAUAAAUGAAAAGCAACUUAUCCAACCGACCUCCCACGAUGGUGUUCAGGAGAUGUCAUUUUAGCAUUUGCUGAACUUCAGAGCUGUUUCAUAAGAUAAUAUUAUCACAGUGCCAGCGACGUACUAUUAUGGUUAUUUAAAACAAACAAAGAGGGCUGCACAUUUUUUCAGGUAAAUGUGACUUGUAAUAGUUUGUUCUAAAUAAGUAGUGGUACAAAUGGAUCUAAAUGAAAUGCAAAUGUCAAAAUAAGCCUUGAAAGAAGGUGUACAUAAUAAUUUAAAAAAUGAAAUUUAUCCCUCUUGCCUUUCAUGGUCUUGUUUCUGCCUCAAUUUCUGCCUAAUUGCCUUCACCCUCUGCCUCCCACUGGUGUACUUCAUGCUGAAGUCACUGUGAUAUUCUGGGCUGGAAGGGGUGUUCGUGUGCAAGUAUCUGUGUAUGACUGGACCCCUGCAUCAAGCACAUUUAUUCAGAGGCACAAUUCCAUGUCUGUGUGUGGCCUCCCACAAUACAUACAUCCUGUGUCUUAUUUUCUACCCCUUUGUUGACUUCUUUUUCUCUUGGGUCAGAUGGAUUAAGCUUUAGUUUCCCUGGUAACCAACAUUGGUAUUUUAUUGCAGCCUCUGGUUACAGAAAGAGAGUGAAAUGGAGAGAAGAAUUUCCCAUCUGUCCUGACUGGGCUGUUGCCUGAGUUGAGUGAUCCAGUAAGGAGGAGCAGAAGAAUGUUGCCAAGACAACAGAAUCCCACAACCCAGUCCAGCACUAAGGCUCUUCUCCCUCCUCCUUCCUGCAUGCUUGGGUCUCAUCUGAGAAUGGGAAUUUGCUUCGGCUAAGAGUGAAAGGAAAGAUGUAUGAUAGAGGACACCAGGAGAGAGGUCCAAUCUUGGAAGCCCUCCAGAAGGGACUUGGAUGGGAUGAGGGCAUCAUAGAGUGCUGGCAUUCCGUACAGCACUGAGAUCCCAGGAGAAUGAAGAUGAUGAAAGCUCUGUGGCUCUAACGUGUGGUUGUGUGAUUUUCUCCAGCUGUAUGCAGUGCCUCAACCAUUUUCGGAAGCCAAGUUCCAUGUCUCAGGCCUUGGAAAAUGGGAUUUGCGUGGUUAAAGGAGAAUGGAGACUGAUAUUGCUUAUGGAGGGCAAGGAUGGCCUUGGAGAGGUCCUGCUCACCUCAGUGUCAUCAGUUACUCCACUCUGUCUGUCUGGUCCUUUCUUCCUCUGUGCUCCCUCUGGUGUGUGUGUGUGUGUGUGUGUGUGUGGGGUCUCUUUAUAGGAUCAUGGUUUGAUGAGGAAGAGCUGGUGGGGAUGGUGUGCUGAAAUCAGACUCGCUCCUACUCCUCAGACUGCAUGGCCACUUCGGUUAACUUACUCUCUCUGGGUGAUCUGAUCUGAUCGUCUAAGCCCCUGAACAGGUUAGGCUUCCUUCCUGGUA
rnacentral:lncRNA from 1 species